GUGUCAGCAGCCGCGGUAAUACGUAGGGGGCGAGCGUUGUCCGGAUUUACUGGGCGUAAAGCGCGUGUAGGCGGCUUCUUAAGUCGGGUGUGAAAGCCCGGGGCUCAACCCCGGGAUGCCGCCCGAGACUGGGAGGCUUGAGGUCGGAAGAGGGGAGUGGAAUUCCAGGUGUAGCGGUGAAAUGCGUAGAGAUCUGGAGGAACACCCGUGGCGAAGGCGGCUCCCUGGUCCGGUUCUGACGCUGAGACGCGAAAGCGCGGGGAGCGAACGGGAUUAGAUACCCUAGUAGUCC
rnacentral:rRNA from 1 species